CAUACCUAGGGACAGAGGACCAGCGCUACACCCAGYUGACAGAAAGGGAAUCGUGGAGAGGGACCAAGUGACUGGACGAAGGUCACGCAAGGCCGCUGUCAGAGAAAGGAAUCGCGCCUGGGCCUCUUGCAGCAGCGCCUGAGCGUGGCCUCCCGGGCUCUGAGUGCUCCUCAGCAAAAAGGAUUUCACAGUUUAAAAAGGGCCUAUGUUAGGGCCUGCCAUGCCUCAGAAGCCAGCAAGAACAGCAGCUCAGCAGAAGACACCUUUUAAUAUUUUUCCUUCCCGGGCAUCUUUGCAGCUUGCUCAGGAAAGACACACCAUCAUCAGAUAUGGACAGGUGGGCAGGUCAGAGCGUGAUGGUCAGUGGCUCUGUUGUGAUCUAUAAGUGACUUAGAGGGAGGUGACAGAGGCCAUCUCCCUGCCCCGCAGGACAGUGGCAGAGUGGCAUGUCCAGAGCACAUACACCAGCAGAGCAACGACUCAGAAACUUUAAAGCCAUGACCCUGGAGAGUACUUCAGGCUGCCGAGAUUGAAAAGAUUUAAACAAGAUCCAUGUACCAAGGCCAACGCUUAAAGACACAUUUCGAUAAAUUCUUCUAGAAAAAAACAAACUGAACGUCAACCAGAAGCACUGAAGAUAAUCUUGCUUCAAACGUUGUUAGAAGAAAGUGUCUUUGGCCAAAAUUUCUCUCACUGCUUUUCCCCACUCCAAUAAACCUGGCUGCUGUCUCCGUCUGGGAGAUGACUUCAUUUCACCAGUUUUCUAAGACAUGGCUCUCUGCCUCAAAAGCAAUUGUUUAUGCUGCAGUCGAAAGAUGUUUAUCAUCAUAGUUGCCUUUUUUCCACUGCAGAGUAGUUAAUCGAUACUUCUGACGUAGGAUAGUCAGUUCUCAUUACACUGGGCUCUCACAAAGUCCUGUUUUCUUCACAGAGGAGAUGUGGAAUUUCCAGCAGAUACUUUGGGCUCCAGCUGGGGCUUGUGCGUCACACGUUCUCCUGUGGUGCGGUCGUCYGGGGCUGCGAAGCGCGGAGGAAGCACGGCAAACCUCGCAUUGCGAGAGGCAGCCGGAGUUGCCGAACUCUUUGCUGCAGGAGAUGAAACUUGACUUCUGGGUGAGAAGGUUGCCAGCGUCAGAGGCCAUUGUCGGAUGUUGUUGGUGUUACGCACGACCCAACGGGAAAGCUGGCUUGGCCCGGAAGGCUUUCCRGUGCUCCUGGCCUCAGUUGCCUUUAGACAGUCCUCAAGUCUAGAUGGGCAGGAAGAAGGUAAGCGAGACCCAGCCGUGGCCCUUGCAGCUGACUGAAAUGCACUUCAGCUCUGCAAGACYCCACAAACCAUCUUCACCAAAUGCAACAAGCUCCAAGAAAUGACUCCACGUUAGCRUUUGGGGGGCAGGGAGAAUACGUAUUAACACCUCCGCUUAGACAUUAAAGGAGAAUAMUAAAAUAGUCUGUUACUGCUAGAUAAGUAGAGACCGUACCUCAGAGAGUCACUUUGGAUCUCCAGCCACAGUAAUAUAUUGUUACGAAUCUCCAUCAGGGCACUUGUCGUGCAGCUAGAGAGUAUGUCUGACAUUGCCUCCAGUGACCUUUUCAAUAUAGUCCAAGUGCUGCAGAGCUGGUGUUUCAAGAGGAAUUCAAAUCGAAUUUACUCAGGCAGAAAGGCUUGGCCCCAGGAUAGCCCUACCACUCUCCUCGCAUUUCUCCGUGUCAUUCUCAUGUAAAUUGCAGUUCUUUAUGCAUGGUGGUUUUUCCCUGCACCACAGAAAAUGUGGCCGUUUAAACAACAACAACARCAGCCACCUCACUUACGGAGGAGGCCACCGUUCCCUGGAAAUCACUGCAUCGCAGGCAGCACCGCCGUUGUGGCGGUGGGAAGCGCCGGUGGCAGCAGCGGAGGGCGGAAGAUGAAGCUGCUAACUUUAGGACAGCCUAUCAAAAGGUCUUGAGCUGGUCCCAAAACUAGCUGGYGUGUAUCAAGCAGCCACCGUUGUGUUAAAGGAUGGAGCUCAUCGCCAUGGGAUGUUGUGAAUACCAGAGAUUUGUAUAAGCUCGAAAAGCACGUCRAGAAAUGCAUGAGAGAGAAAUUCAUUUAAGGCUAUGGAAGAGAAGGGGACAGCGAGGCAAGGGCAGCCGAGGAGGGAAGUCUCGCUGCUUGACACCAACGGCCCCGGUGGGAGAUCUGUGUCCUUCCAGGGGGUAAAGUGCAUGGRCACGUGGCUGGUUUUCUUCAUGUUCUUUCCUGGCACAGAAUGAUUAUGUCAUACGUGUUCGUAURAGAAGUGCUUUAAAAAGUAAUUUCUUUGAUUAAUUUGGUGUCUGUAUUUUCACUGUUUUGUUCACUCCAAUUUAUGACAAAAUUGAACAAAGUGGGUAACAAAAUAUAGCCCUGUCAGCCUCCUGUCUUCGCGGAUAUAAAGAAAAAUGCGAAACUGUCAGGCACACAAAUGUGCCAAACCCCAAGGAAAAUUAUUACAUUCUGCUUGACAUUUACUUUAAUUUUACAAAAUUCUGUAAUACCAUUAUAAAUAAUAAUAAUAAAAAGCGGCAUGGAAAUAUU
ensembl:lncRNA